rnacentral:rRNA from 1 species
GAUGAACGCUGGCGGCGUGCCUAAUACAUGCAAGUCGAGCGAACGGACGAGAAGCUUGCUUCUCUGAUGUUAGCGGCGGACGGGUGAGUAACACGUGGAUAACCUACCUAUAAGACUGGGAUAACUUCGGGAAACCGUAGCUAAUACCGGAUAAUAUUUUGAACCGCAUGGUUCAAAAGUGAAAGACGGUCUUGCUGUCACUUAUAGAUGGAUCCGCGCUGCAUUAGCUAGUUGGUAAGGUAACGGCUUACCAAGGCAACGAUGCAUAGCCGACCUGAGAGGGUGAUCGGCCACACUGGAACUGAGACACGGUCCAGACUCCUACGGGAGGCAGCAGUAGGGAAUCUUCCGCAAUGGGCGAAAGCCUGACGGAGCAACGCCGCGUGAGUUAUGGAGGUCUUCGGAUCGUAAAACUCUGUUAUUAGGGAAGAACAUAUGUGUAAGUAACUGUGCACAUCUUGACGGUACCUAAUCAGAAAGCCACGGCUAACUACGUG